AUCUAUCAACCCAACACAGAUUUAAUUCUGGUUUGGUGUUUGGAUAUGAAGGUCGCUGGAAUCAACAUCAGCUCCUUUAAAAUGCAUUAGCAGAACUUUGUAUCAGCUUCGGUUUGAUAAUAAUGUUAUCCGUGCUGUUGCUGGUAUACUCAGUUCAGCUUCAAAUGGUCUCACUAAUGAGACUGUCCAAUCUCUGGGCAUUAUUUUGAC
rnacentral:misc_RNA from 1 species